AAUAAUUAUUUAAAAUAAGUUUUGUGGUGUUCUGGAUCUAGUGUUUUCUUUAUUAAACAUCAAUAGCAUUUUUUUUUGUUUUUUUUUUUGUUUUUUUUUGAGUGAUGCCAUGGUUACCUCACUUUCAAUUAUUUCUAGAUCCAAAAUUUUCUGUUUGGGCUCGACUUCCUGUCCAACAGGGACAAGGUAUUCAUAAGCUUAUAUCAACUCAGUCUGUCUGUCUGUCUGGUCAAAAGUUUGUACAUGUUAUUUCUCCGACACCAAAUCUCGGAUUGAGCUGAAAUUUCGCACAAUCAUUUCUUAUACCUGACAACACAAGAAUCGAUUAAAAAAAAACAACAACCGAUUAGUUAAUUAACUAUUGGUACAUUCUAUUGCUUGAUCUGAAUUAUAGAUGAAAAGUUAUUAUUAUGUGAAAGAACAAACAAUAUUUUACGGAAUUCAAACCUUAAGGAAAGGAAAUUAGAGUUUUAUUGUUGAAACGGUCACUGUCUAUAACAUUUGUGAUGUGAGCAAGAUGUUUCUGUUGUUAUACAUCUUCUUUCUGAGGAACUCCAUAUGGACGACGGCGCUUUGCCCAGUACACUAUUUCAUGACGGAAGUGGUCAAGGGGACUUGCGAAUCGUACCAGAAGGGCAUCUGGCAAAUUCCAUGCGACAGUGGAAAGCAAAAAGUGAACAUAAAUCAAAGUGACUAUUGCUGCGUCUCUUGCUCGCCAUGUGGCGUCUGCGGUCUUGGAGUUUUCUUGUACCAUGACUUUGAGGGCCGCGCCUGCGGCUGGAACUCCAACGUCAUCUGCUGCGACGAGGAGAACAUGGACGUCUCGAAUGACCACUGCGUCCACAGGACCACUCCGUCACCCAGCAUCAUAUUGACCUCAACGCUUUCGUUUGCUCUGGAGGCAAUGACGACAAAGGAGCUGAUGUUGCGAAAUCGUCAAGAAGCUGAACAAUUCAACUUGAAUACAUGUAACAAGUGCAGAGAAUCGGUUUUCUGUUUCAGUGUCGUUAUUGUUAUCACUCAUUUUGUUUGCACAUGAUUAAAAGACACUUUACCCACUUUGCCA